GCCUCCUGGCCCGCUGGACAGCGGCCGCCUGGCUGUUGGGCAAGGGACAGCCUGGGGCUCUGGAGUCCCCGAGAGAGACUCCUGGACGCAAACUCUUCCAGGUCACCAGGAUGGAGCCAGCACCCACCCCAAGGACAGUACCUAUUCUCUGGAUCCUUAAACUCGGAGAACUAGAACUACAGAGCUUCAGCCUCCUCUCUGCGAAUUUCUCCAGUCCAGCUUUGCUCAAGGAAGCCAGCUUUGCCGUGGGAUGCUAAAGGACAGGUCCAGACAUCUCACCUAGACGCAGCAGUGAAAGAGAUAGCAGAGUCUCCCCAGUGACGGGGGUGGAGGAGAACCUAGGGAGGCAAGAAGAGUCCUGACAGUCUAGUGUGUCCAUCCCCAAGCAGCGGGAUCCCAGCCACCACUGUCAAAAAUUUGUAUUCAGGAGGGCCCAGGGAUUUCGGGGCAUGGGAGGGGCAGAAGCCAGGAGGGGCAGCCAGGGGAACUGGAGGCACCUCUAAUUGCACAACAAACACUUUUCACCAGGGCGGGGGAUGGCUGGAGGGGACAUUGAUGGAGAUCAAAGGGGGACACCAACAUCUUCCAAACAUGCUUUUAUUUACAUAUUACAACAGUUUGAUGAGAUGUCCACAUUAAAUACAUACACAUACAUCGAUUUUUUUUUUCUUUCGACCUUUACUGGAGUAUAAAGCUUUACACUGUUGUGCCAGUUUCUGCUGUACAACAAAGCGAAUCAGCUGUAUUUAUACUUAUAUCCCCAUAUGCCCUCUCUGUUGAGCCUCCCUCCCACCCUCCCUAUCCCACCCCUCUAGCUCUUCACCAGUCAUCAAGUUGAUCUCCCUGUGUUAUGCAGUUUCUUCCCACUAGCUAUCUGUUUUACAUUUGGUAGUGUAUAAAUGUCAAUACUACUCUUUCACUUUGUUCCAGCUUCUCCUUCCCCCGCUUCCCGUGUCCUCAAGUCUGGUCUCUACGUCUGCAUCUUUAUUCUUCCCCUGCCACUGAGUUCAUCAGUACCAUUUUUUUAGAUCCCAUAUAUAUGUGUUAGCAUACGGUAUUUGUUUUUCUCUUUCUGACUUACUUCACUCUGUAUGACAGAUUCUAGGUCCAUCCACCUCACUACAAAUAACUCAAUUUCAUUCCUUUUUAUGGUUGAGUAAUAUUCCAUUGUACAUAUGUGCCACAUCUUCUUUAUCCAUUUAUCUGUCGAUGGACAUUUAGGUUGCUUCCAUGUCCUGGCUGUUGUAAAUAAUGCUGCAAUGAACAUUGUGGUACAUGUAUCUUUUUGAAUUAUGGUUUUCUCUGGGUAUAUGCCCAGUAGUGGGAUUGCUGGGUCAUAUGGUAGAUCUAUUUUUAGAUUUUUGAGGAGCCUCCAUACUGUUUUCCAUAGUGGUUGUAUCACUUUACAGUCCCACCAACAGUGCAGGAGGGUUCCCUUUUCUCCACAGCCUCUCCAGCAUUUAUUGUUCCUAGAUUUUUUGAUGAUGGCCAAUCUAAGUGGUGUGAGGUGAUACCUCAUUGUGGGUUUGACUUGCAUUUCUCUAAUGAUUAGUGAUGUCGAGCAUCUUUUCACAUGUUUGUUGGCCAUCUGCCUGUCUUCUUUGGAGAAAUGUCUGUUUAGGUCUUCCACCCAUUUUUGGAUGGGGUUGUUUGUUUGUUUGAUAUUGAGCUGCAUGAGCUGCUUAUGUAUUUUGGAGAUUAAUCUUUUGUCAGUUGCUUCGUUGGCAAAUAUUUUCUCCCACUCCGAGGGUUGUCUUUUCGUCAUACUUAUGGUUUCCUUUGCUGUGCAAAAACUUUUAAGUUUCCUUAGGCCCCAUUUGUUUAUUUUUGUUUUUAUUUCCUUUACUCUAGGAGAUGGGUCAAAAAAGAUCCUGCUGUGAUGUAUGUCAUAGAGUGUUCUGCCUGUGUUUUCCUCUAAGAGUUUUAUAAUGUCAGGCCUUACAUUUAGGUCUUUGAUCCAUUUUGAGUUUAUUUUUGUCAUACACAUACAUAGAUUUUAAUCUGGAGUGCCCUGGGUACUACCACUGCUCUGUUUUGUCCUUCUUGUUCAUAUGGUUUUGAGCACUUUCUUGGACUUCUGGCCUUUUUGCCUAGAGAGCAUCAGCCUCGUAUUUAGGGUGUCAACAACCAACUACCCUUCAGGGAACCCUUUCCAACUUUUAGCCCCUGGUUCGUGGUAGAGCUGGUCUCACCACUCUCCCCACAGCGUCUCCCCUUCAAAGUGGAAGGCUGGGCCAAUCAGCAGAGCCAUUGCUCUGACCAUCACGGUUGGGUCAGGGCAGGCAUGUGACCCAGCUUGCCGAAUGAGAUGCAAGUCUGGAUCUCCCAAUGAGAUGCAAGUCUGGAAUUUUUCUUUGAAGCAUGGGAAAGAAGAGCACCAUCUCUGCUUGGGUGGCGGAUUUGAAGGAUAACACAGGUGUGCAGAGCCAGAGGUCACCACUUGAAGAGAGGUGGCCUGGGGAAUUCCCUGGUGGUCUAGUGGUUAGGAUUCCAUGCUUUCACUGCCGUGGCCUGGGUUCAUCCUGGAAGUCAUGCAGUGUGCUCGAACCGAAAAAAAAAAAAAAAGAAGAAGAAGAGAGGUGGCCCGAGAGUGAACCCACACAAAGGAGAACAGAACCAAAGUCGAUUUGAAGUCCAUCUUCUCUCCCUGGCACUGAGACUGCAACUUCUGGGAGUCAGGCCUUCAUCAGACAAGAGUUUUGAAAGGCAAAGCAAGAGCCAGGUUUGAUUAUGAAGCUAAAGGGAAGAACCCGAUGGGAGCCAGAACGGCCCAGACGUGGAGCUCACUCCUUACAACUGAACAAAAGGGCACUGGAGCAGGACAUGGGCUGGGCCAACAGGGUGUUUCCAAAUGAUGCCAAGAAACAGCAUUGGGGCAGGAGCAUCUGGUUUCCAGGGGCAGCUGUGGCAGAGUGCCAAUGGCAGUGCCAGUUGAGGCAUCUGAAUUCUGUGGUGGUGGCAGGAGUGACCUCACCAACCAGUUCCCUGGCAUGAUUUCAGCUGAUCACCCUCACCCCCUUGAUUUCUAUGACUUUCUGAGCUUGGUUUUCCAACCUUCCUGCCACUUUUGUGGGGAACUGAACAGCCUUCCAAUGCACGUUUUUGCUGUUUAAAUUGGCCAGUGUUUCUGCUGCUUGCAAAUGAAAACCUUGACUUACAUAAGAUGGGGAAACCCCAGCAUCUGUUAUAUUUAUAUUCUAAUUUUGGAACUGUUUGGGUUACAAUUAUCAGAAUAUCUGACCACUAGUAUCUUAAGCUGCACAGACAUUGUGAUUUCUCAUAACAAGGAGUCUGGAGGUAAGAGGUUCCAGGGUGGGACUGGUGUCCCCAUGGUUUCAGGGCUCUGGGAGGCAGCAGCAUCUCUGUGCCUGUCUUAACUUGCUCCUCAUGGCCACAAGAUGGCUGCAGAAGCUCCUGGCAUCAUGUCCUCGUAGGAAACAGUAAGGGAGGGAAGGGGGCAAUAACACCUUUCCUGUGUCCAGAAACCCCCACUCCAGACCUCCCCUUAAAACUUGCUGGCCAGAACUGGGAAACGUGCCCAGAUCGAAAACAACCCACACAAAAGACGUUGCCAAGAAUGGCUCAGCCAAAUCCUAAAUUAACCCCCGAGGCUGGGCACCAAAUCAUGGCUCUGUUGGUGAGGAGGGUGAAAUGGCCGCUGGGAUGGCAACAACAGGGUCAGCCACAAGAACUAACUGGGGCCUUGUUGUGGGCAGGAGCACGCCUUCGUGGACCUCUUGCUCUUGGGGUCCACAGGCCAGUGAUGCCCACGGAUGCUGGAGUGGAUGAGACUCUGCUCCCACCUCUCCACCCCAAAAGCUCUCAUUUGUGCAAGAGACAUUCAGGCUGCGCCUCCUGGGAUACAUGGCCAGGUGCCCCUAAUAAAACCGGAGCGCCGAGGCCCCACCAUGAGAAGCAAAAUCUCCAGGGCCCGUGAGAACAGAGGAGCUGGAGCUGCGUUCUCAGAGAUGAAGCCAGGGGCGGGUUUCCAAGCUGGCCAGGUCUGGGGCAGAUUCCCACCUCACACGGCUCCCCUGAGGCCCCUUUGGCCCUCGCUCGCUGUGAGGCCCCAGAAGUCACACUUGGCCUCCCUCUCGCGGGCCUCCAUCCCACCGUCCCGGGAGAUGGUGUUUUCCCACAGCCCAAGCCCAGGUGCGGAGGGAGGCUCCUUGCUGGCCGCAUCCAGGGCCAUGGCGGGGAAGCAGGACAUCUGGAAGCAGACGCGCUCUCCACAAGCUCAGUGCCUACAUGCCCAAGCUGCCCUGGACGAAAGGUGAAGGAGGUGAUGAGCUCCAGACCUCUGCAGGGUGCCGUACAGAGGAGGGCCAGGCUGGUCCGGGAGAGUGUGCACACGUGAGCACGUGUUUAAUUGUGCGUGAGCGAGCAUGUGAGCACGUUACACGGCCCGUGAGCAAGGCUACCUGUGAGCGUGACCACGUGGACGUGGGUGUCGGAUGCGUGAGUGCAGGUGUGCAUGUGAACGUCUGCAUGCCUGUGUGCACGUGUGUUCCGCUUCUCUCUGAAGGACACAAAUGUGCACAAAGUGAAGA